rnacentral:tRNA from 1 species
GGUGGCUUAGUGGUAGGGCGCUUGCCUUGCAUGCAAGAGGCCCUGGGUUCGAUUCCUCAGCACCA